UACGGGGGGGCAAGGCGUUGUUCGGAAUUACUGGGCGUAAAGGGCUCGUAGGCGGCCAACUAAGUCGGAUGUGAAAUCCCCAGGCUUAACCUGGGAACUGCAUCCGAUACUGGAUGGCUUGAAUCCGGGAGAGGGAUGCAGAAUUCCAGGUGUAGCGGUGAAAUGCGUAGAUAUCUGGAGGAAUACCGGUGGCGAAGGCGGCAGUCCUGGACCGGCAUUGACGCUGAGGAGCGAAAGCUAGGGGAGCAAACGGGG
rnacentral:rRNA from 1 species